UUUCCGUAGGUGAACCUGCGGAAGGAUCAUUAUUGAAUAAACCUGAUGUGACUGUUAGCUGGCCUUUCGAAGCAUGUGCUCGUCCGUCAUCUUUAAUCUCUCCACCUGUGCACAUUUUGUAGUCUUGGAUACCUCUCGAGGCAACUCGGAUUUUAGGAUCGCCGUGCUGCACAAGUCGGCUUUCCUUUCAUAUCCAAGACUAUGUUUUUAUAUACACCAAAGUAUGUUUAAAGAAUGUCAUCAAUAGGAACUUGUUUCCUAUAAAAUUAUACAACUUUCAGCAACGGAUCUCUUGGCUCUC
rnacentral:misc_RNA from 1 species